rnacentral:rRNA from 1 species
AGUCGUAACAAGGUUUCCGUAGGUGAACCUGCGGAAGGAUCAUUACCUAGAGUUUGUGGACUUCGGUCUGCUACCUCUUACCCAUGUCUUUUGAGUACCUUCGUUUCCUCGGCGGGUCCGCCCGCCGAUUGGACAACAUUCAAACCCUUUGCAGUUGCAAUCAGCGUCUGAAAAAACAUAAUAGUUACAACUUUCAACAACGGAUCUCUUGGUUCUGGCAUCGAUGAAGAACGCAGCGAAAUGCGAUAAGUAGUGUGAAUUGCAGAAUUCAGUGAAUCAUCGAAUCUUUGAACGCACAUUGCGCCCCUUGGUAUUCCAUGGGGCAUGCCUGUUCGAGCGUCAUUUGUACCUUCAAGCUCUGCUUGGUGUUGGGUGUUUGUCUCGCCUCUGCGUGUAGACUCGCCUUAAAACAAUUGGCAGCCGGCGUAUUGAUUUCGGAGCGCAGUACAUCUCGCGCUUUGCACUCAUAACGACGACGUCCAAAAGUACAUUUUUACACUCUUGACCUCGGAUCAGGUAGGGAUACCCGCUGAACUUAAGC